GCUUUUGACCCUGUCUCCCAUAACAAACUCCCAGAUAUGAAGAUGUGAUGUUUACAGAGGAAAAAAAAAAGAAUACUAUUACAGAAGCGUUGAUUAGAAUAGUUCUGCCUUCUUCCCUUUCUAAUGCAAUUCUUUGUGUGUGCUAGCAAGACCUCUACUAGAUUUUUUACUGCCUACACAGUUCUUCUGCUGAAGACAGGGAGAUGAUCUGCCUAGUGGAUGAGGGAAAGGCUGUGGAUAUAACCAACUGGACUACAGCAAAGACUUUGACACAGUCUCUCACAGUAUUUUCCUGGCAAAGAAGGCAACCCACAGCUUGGGCAGGUGCACUCUUUACCAGGUUAAGAACUGUCUGGCUGGGCAGGCCCAGAGAAUGGUCAUUAAAGAAAUUACAUCUGGCUGUUGGCUGGCCACAAAUGGUGUUCCCUAAGGCUCAAUACUGGCUGGGGUCAGUCCUGUUUAGCAUCUUUAUUGAUGAUCUGGACAAGAGAAUCCCACUCAGCAAGUUCACAGAUGACACUAAAUUGGGGCAGAGUGCUGAUUUGCUGGAGGGUAAGAAGGCUCUACAGAGGGAUCUGGACAGCUGAAUAGGUAGCCAAAAGCAGAAGGUUCAAUAUAGCAAUGUGCUGGGUCCUGCCAGUGACAGUGGCUUUUUGGGUGACAACAACCCCAGGAAGUGCUUGGAGCAGAAUGGCCAGAAAGCUGCCUGGCAGAAAAGGACUGGGGAGUGUUAGUUCACAGCUAUCUAAACAUGAGCCAAAGCAUGCCCAGGUGGCCAUAAAGGCCAAUGGCACUGUGGCUUCCAUGAGCAAUAGUGCAGCCAGAAGAAGUACAGAAGUGAUUGUUGCUCUGUAUUCAGCACUGGUGAGGCUAUCUCUCCAGUGAUAGUACAGUUUUGGAUCCCUAAAAAGACAUUGAAGUGCUGGAGUAUCUCCAGAGAAGGGCAGAAGAGUUGCUGAGGGAGCUGGGAUUGUUUAGCCUGGAGAAAAAGAAUUUCAGAGGAGACCUUAUCACCCUCUAAAACUGCCUAAAAGGAGGUUGUAGCAGGUCAGGGGUCAGCCUCUCCUCCCAAGUAAACAGUGACAGGAAAAGAGGAAAUGGCUGAACCAGGGGAGGUCUAGGUUCAACAUCAAGAAGGUUUCUUCACUGAAAGAGUGAUUAAGUAUUGAAACAGGCUGCCUAAGGAGGUGGUGGUGUCACCAUUCCUGGAAAUGUUCACGAAAUUAUUAGACACAGCACUCAGUGCUAUGAUUUAGGUAAAAUGGUGCCAUUCAGUCACAGGUUGGAUACAAUGAUUUUGAGGGUCUUUUACCACCUAUGAUUAUGCAAUUCUCACAACACUCUCAUGGGUAAACCCAGGAAAUGUGGGUUAGACAAUGCGGGGAUUUGAGAAUUGGUUUAACGGCAGAUCCCACGAGGUAAUAAUCAGUGGCCCAGGGUCUAACUGGAGGCCUUUCACCGGUGGAGUCUCAAAAGGUUCAACACUGGGUCCAGCAAGGUUUAAUUUAUUUUAAAAUUACACUUCAUGAUUCUUUCUCACAAAGAAAAACAUUAGUGGUACAACUUAUUUUACCUAAGUUUUUUUUCCUGGAAAAAAUUAGGCCAAAAUUUUGAACUAUUUGUAAAUAAUUAGAAGACAACAUAUAAUGCAUAGUAAAAACUUAGAAUUACUUAAAAACCAACAUGGUGGAUUAAAACUGAAUUAACAGACUGUCAGCCCUUUUAGACUAAAUAGAAACAGUGGAUGUUGCAUGUCAUAGAAUGGAAUCAUAGAAUCACAGAAUCAAUCACAGAAUCACAGAACCAUAGAAUCAUAGAAUCAUAGAAUCACAGAAUGGUUUCAGCUGAGUAAUUAAAGAUCAUUUAGUUUCUUUGGAUAGGGACAUCUUCCACUAGACCAGGUUGCUCAGUGUCCCACCCAGCCUGGCUUAAACACAUCCAAGGAUGGGGUAUUCACUACUUCUCUGGGCAACCUGUUCCAGUACCUCACCACUGUACAAUUUUUUACAAAUAUAAAAUUUAAGCUACUCUCAUUUUAAACCCAUUCCCCUUUGUCCUGUCACUACAUGCUCUUAUAAAAAGCCUCUGUCCACCUUUCUUGUAGGUUCACAAGGUUCUGGAAGGUCACAAUUAGGUCACCUCAAAGCCUUCUCUUUUCCAGGAUGAACAAUCCUAGUUUUCUUAACCUUUUCUCAGAGGAGAGGUGUUCCAUCUCUCUAAUAAUUUUGGUGCCUCCUCUGGACUCUCACCAAUUCCCUGUGCUGUGACCCCAGAGCUGAUGCAGCCUUGAAGGUGGGCUCUCAGCAGAGCAGAGCAGAGGGACAGAAUCCCCCCCUGGCCCUGCUGCCCACCCUGCUUUGAAUGCAGCCCAGGAUAUAUUUAGCUUUCUGGGCUGUGAGUGCUCAUGGCCACCCUCUCAUCCACCUCACCCCCAUGUCCUUCUCAUAUCUGUUCAUCCCCCAGCCUGUUUUGGUACUGGAACUUGCCCUGACCUAGAUGCAACUUGGUCUUGGUAAACCCCAUUAGAUUCCGAGGGGCCCACUUCUUGAGCUUGUCCAGGUCUCUCUGGGUUGCACUGCAUCCUUCAGGUAUUUCAGCUGCACCACUCAACUUGGUGUCUUUAUUGUUUGCUAGUCAUUCUGACACCAUGUUAUAAGAAAGAAAAAUAUGAUCUUCAUGUAACAACUGUAAAAUAUAUUGAAAAGGAUAACACAGGUGAAUCAUAUUAGAUGGAAAAGCUCUGAUGAAGAAUUCCCAUUGUAACAGUUUUUAAGCAUGGUAUUCAAACUUCACAUUUCACAAAUUAGUUUAGAAAAUUGAAUUGGGUUUUGGGGAACAAGUUUCCCUAUGCCUUCUUUCUUGAGAAAGGUUAAGUUAUCUCUGUCUUAAUAUUACCUUCUUAACUAGUGUGAAGUACAACUAGCAAUUACAAUUAUUAUCAAUUACAUCAUCUUAGAGAGCUUUUUAAUCAGAUUAUUUUAACAGGCUGUUUUCUCAAAUGUCUUUGUGAACUCUACUUCUGAGAUACUCUUUUAAAACUUAAGUUUCUAUAUAUACAACAUUAAUUUUGCUUGGUGUGGUCAUGUUAACUACUAUUUCUGUCCUUCCUUAAUAUAUCAGAAGCAAUCUGUGUAUUAUGACCUGUCAAGCUCAACAUACAAAACUUGUAUUUUCCAACUUGAAUAAUAAAAAAAAGAUCCCACAAAAAGUGUUCAGAUCCCUUUCUACAGGGAUAUGGUUUCUGUAUUCAGAUAAAACAAAUAUUUAGCUAAAACACCCGUAUGACUGGGUUCUGUUGACACUCAAAAUAUGUAAAUUCCUGAAUUAGGCUGAUGGGUCCUUUUCAUAAUUCUAUAGAGGCAAGGGUUGUUGUCAUAUUUUCAUGGGAGAUAUAUUUUCUUCUCUCUAACACUUCACGACAUACACCUCUACCUACUACCCUACAAGUACACUUCUCAAAGGUGAAAGUUUUUAGGAUUAGAUCCUACCUCUGUUAAAUCCACAUGCGAAAAAGCACAGUGACAUGGUGAAACCUGAGAUCUGCCAGUAUUAUUAGACUUUAUAUUUUGGAAAGCAAAUUAAUCAACUAAUCUAUUUUUACAUUGGACAAACCCUCACUUAAUUUUGUGAUUAUGUCAAAGGCUUUGCAAGUCAAAGGACUCUUGUGUAACAUCUGUACUAUUGGGAAAUCUGUCUUCUAAUUGUGGCAGAUAAACUAAAAUAUAAACACAAUACUUAACAUUUUUGCAGAC